rnacentral:rRNA from 2 species
AACGCCGCGUGAGUGAAGAAGGGUUUCGGCUCGUAAAACUCUGUUGUUAAAGAAGAACAUAUCUGAGAGUAACUGUUCAGGUAUUGACGGUAUUUAACCAGAAAGCCACGGCUAACUACGUGCCAGCAGCCGCGGUAAUACGUAGGUGGCAAGCGUUGUCCGGAUUUAUUGGGCGUAAAGCGAGCGCAGGCGGUUUUUUAAGUCUGAUGUGAAAGCCUUCGGCUCAACCGAAGAAGUGCAUCGGAAACUGGGGAACUUGAGUGCAGAAGAGGACAGUGGAACUCCAUGUGUAGCGGUGAAAUGCGUAGAUAUAUGGAAGAACACCAGUGGCGAAGGCGGCUGUCUGGUCUGUAACUGACGCUGAGGCUCGAAAGUAUGGGUAGCAAACAGGAUUAGAUACCCUGGUAGUCCAUACCGUAAACGAUGAAUGCUAAGUGUUGGAGGGUUUCCGCCCUUCAGUGCUGCAGCUAACGCAUUAAGCAUUCCGCCUGGGGAGUACGGCCGCAAGGCUGGAACUCAAAGGAAUUGACGGGGGCCCGCACAAGCGGUGGAGCAUGUGGUUUAAUUCGAAGCUACGCGAAGAACCUUACCAGGUCUUGACAUACUAUGCAAAUCUAAGAGAUUAGACGUUCCCUUCGGGGACAUGGAUACAGGUGGUGCAUGGUUGUCGUCAGCUCGUGUCGUGAGAUGUGGGGUUAAGUCCGCAAGAG